GUUAAAAAGCUCGUAGUUGGAUUUCUGUGGGGACGGAGCGGCCGGCCGCAACACGCGGUUCGAGCUAGCGCUUUCCCUACAUCCUGCCGCGAACCGUGCUACCAUUAGUUUGGUGGCGCUGGGGAUCGGCUCGAUUACUUUGAGAAAAAUAGAGUGUUCAAAGCAGGCCACACGCCUUGAAUAAGUUAGCAUGGAAUAAUAACUAAGGACUUCGGUUCUAUUUUGUUGGUGUUCGGGACUGAAGUAAUGAUUGAUAGGGACAGUUGGGGCGGUCCGUAUUCCAAAGCGAGAGGUGAAAUUCUUAGACCUUCGGAAGACGAACAGCUGCGAAAGCGUUCCGCAAGGAUGUUCCCUUUGAUCAAGAACGAAAGUUGGGGGAUCGAAGACGAUCAGAUACCGUCGUAGUCUCAACUAUAAACUAUACCAGCUAGGGAUCAGCCAACGUUUAAUUACACCGAC
rnacentral:rRNA from 1 species